CGGUCCAAACUCCUACGGGAGGCAGCAGUGGGGAAUAUUGCACAAUGGGCGAAAGCCUGAUGCAGCAACGCCGCGUGAGUGAUGAAGGCCUUCGGGUCGUAAAACUCUGUCCUCAAGGAAGAUAAUGACGGUACUUGAGGAGGAAGCCCCGGCUAACUACGUGCCAGCAGCCGCGGUAAUACGGAGGGGGCUAGCGUUAUCCGGAUUUACUGGGCGUAAAGGGUGCGUAGGCGGUCUUUCAAGUCAGGAGUGAAAGGCUACGGCUCAACCGUAGUAAGCUCUUGAAACUGGGAGACUGGAGUGCAGGAGAGGAGAGUGGAAUUCCUAGUGUAGCGGUGAAAUGCGUAGAUAUUAGGAGGAACACCAGUUGCGAAGGCGGCUCUCUGGACUGUAACUGACGCUGAGGCACGAAAGCGUGGGGAGCAAACAGGAUUAGAUACCCUGGUAGUCCACGCUGUAAACGAUGAGUACUAGGUGUCGGGGGUUACCCCC
rnacentral:rRNA from 1 species